AGGACUAUCUGAAAGGCUUUGACAGGAGUGCCUCUUUAGUGCUUGAGGCAUCUUUUGCUCUGUCUGACCAAUUUUUUAGCACAAGAUUUUCUUCUCAGUUAAGACAAAAAAAAAAAAGAUGUCUACCCAAAGACUGUCUGUGCUUUCUCCCCUUCUGCUCUUCUGCUUCUUCAGAGAGACUUUCUCCAUUUGUGACGGGACAACGUGGACAAAGGUCGGAUGGGAGAUUUUUCCAGAGGAAGUGCACUACCUGAAAGUUAAGGCCCCCCCAUCCAGCUGCCUACCUUAUCCUCUGGACACACUCUGCUGCAACUUUGCUAACAUGGACCUCUUACAGAGCGCCUUACACCUCACUUACAUCUUAGUACAAGCUCUCUGCUUAAUCCUGUUUGCUUUAUCUGUGCAUUACCUAUGGAUGAAAUGGACAAGACACCAAAAAAAGCUGAAAAAGCAAGCUUCCUUAGAGAAACACGCUAAUGGCCUAGACCUGAGCCCAUCCAUCCAUGACAUUGAACAAAUCCUCUGCAGACUACUGGCCACAACAUCAAUGAUGACCAAGUUCCUGAAGCACGUGUCUCACCACUCUUCUGUCAAGAAAGCUAAGCAACAACGUAAAUUAAGGAAGAAGAAGAGUAAGGGAGAAGAGGAGCAGAAGAUCACUGCUAUCCCUAAGCUCGUGCAAAUGUAGCUUGGUCAAGUGCGGAGAGGACAAAAGCUCGUGCAAAUGUAGCUUGGUCAAGUGCGGAGUAUAAAAGAAAUCUAUUGCAGGGACUGUCUGAGGACACAAAGGUUUCUUUGGGGGCUUGCUUUUUUUUUUUUUUUUUUGCCACAAUCAUUACAGAAAAAUUCUCAGACGAGCUCUGGGUUUCCGCUCAACUGAAAACGAAUCCACUCUUUCUAACGUGGCUCCCAGAAUAAACUGAGAACACCUUAACUGGAACUUCAGGGUGUAAUCUAGUGGAAAGGAAACUCUCAGAGAUGCUAAGAAACUUGGCUCAAGGAACCAGUAAUGAUGGAUGCAAGAUACCAACCAACAUGGGCAGCCUGACUCCUGAGCCCCUCCACAUCUGCUAAGUAUGACAGCAAGCUGCACUUUGGAACAAUCAGUCUAUGAUUUAAAAGAAUUUUCAUCAAACUCUAAUUACCAGCCCUUUAUUGUUAACACAGUUUUCAAAAUC
ensembl:antisense 4930469G21Rik RIKEN cDNA 4930469G21 gene